UCUUUCUUUCUUGCCUAAAUAACUGUCGCUAAAGCCAGGGGACAGAGUUGAGCCAACGUGAGCAUUUGCACUGGAGCGUGGUAGUGUCCAGCACAAGGAGGUGGAGCCCGAGGGGGAUGAGAAACACAUCAGCACGGAGUGGGCUGGUGGCGGCAGUCUGGCACGUGGGGCCCGAGCAGGCCAAGGGCAGCACCCAUACGAGGGGCAGCCACCCGGCGUGGGUGUCGGAGGCAGGACGAGGCAAGGAGUGGCGGUGAGGAGAGAUGAGUUACGUUGCUUGUCGAUCAACAAACCCAAUCUAUGGAGGUCUUGGGCCAGGUUUCUCCCCGAGAAAGAGGAGUUUGAGUGUGGAAAGAGGGGAAGCUGGGAGUGACCCCGUGGUGCGUGAGGCUGGAUUGGACAUGUCAGUGAUUUUGUGUCUUCCAUAAUGUUUGUGUGCGUAUACGUGUGUAUACUCGUACAUAGAUGUAGGUAUGUGUUGCCUAGCUCUUUUGAUUGAAAAGGCUUGAGAACAAUGUCCUCACAAUAACAUUGAGCAUACCUGAUGUUCAUUUUUCGAAAUACCGUUCUCUACAAAACAAUAUAGUAAUAAUAAUCAUAACAAUAACAAAACAAAACAAAAAAGCAGAGCUCUUUGAAGAAAUACUUGAUUCCGGGUCUCGGGGAGGAGAAGUACAAGAUAAGCUUAGAACAUUUUCGUGUUUGUGCCAGAAAGUAAAAAAAGUGUUCAAAGAUUGAUAGGAAUAUGUCAAAGAACAUGAAAACCAGCCUGGAGGGGCACUCGCUGACCAAAUCUGGGAUAAUUUGAGCAUCAGCGAACAAUGGAAGGAACAGAUAUUGCCUACUGAAUAUGAUAAGCAUUCGUAAGUCCAUCGCUAAUGUGCAUAAAUAAGUGAGUAAAUGAAUGCGGAGCAGAGAAAGCUUUUCUCUACAGUGUCACGCUAACCGACAACUGUGGAAGGAAUGACGGAAUUAGGAAAUCAUUUGGCAUCAUAGCAGAAAAUCUUGCGAUGCUUCAAAGAUUUUCCCAACUUCACCAUCUUGCGAUGCUUCAAAGACGGAAUUAGGAAAUCAUUUGGCACCAUAGCAGAAAAUCUUGCGAUGCUUCCAGACGAAGAAUAGAACUUGCAAAGGUAACUUACAAAGGAAAGAUAACCGGACGGACUUCUCAUCUGCACUUUCGGUUGAAGUAGACAAUUCGCAUUUCCAUUUCCAGACCCUUGGCAAUAUCCCUACAUAGAAGAAAGUUAUUAUUCACACGUGAGAGCAAAGUAAAGACAUUUUACACAUUGCAAGGGCUCUGAAAAUAUCCCACCCAUCUACCUUUCUGACAAAAUUCUCUAACCGAAUGAAAAUCAAGUCUCAUGAUAGAGAAGAUGAAAAGUUCAAGAAACAUCGAUGAGCGAUAGAUCUUAUGAUAUUUACAAUUAAAUCUAAAUGGUUGAUGAUGGUGAAGUUGGGAUUAUACUCUGUUAAGACUUUUGAAACAGGAACGAGAUUCUAGGAGGUAAAACACGGUAAUAGUCUGAGACUGAAACCCUAUAAUCAUCGCAUCCAAACUAAAGAUUUGGGCAAUAGGGGGGUUGUGGGUAUUUAAUUGUUCUAAAAACUUCAUUUCAGUAGAAAAAGGGGAGAAGCAUCGAAUUAGUUGUAUGGAUGACGCGAGACUCCAAAAUGCUACUCAGAGUGGCAUACAAUUUAAAACUUAAAAAUUAUUUCCAGAAUUUUCCACUUAGUAUUUCGGACUGAGGUUGACAGUAGUAACUGAAACCACCGAAAGUGAAGCCAUGGACUAGGGGGGCCACUGCAGAGAGUUCCAGCACGAUUUCACAGGACAGUCGUACCACACAGGAAGAAAACCGAUGCUGGAGAAGUCCUUCAACGAAGGAGAGGAACUGUGACCGGACGCUGAGGGGCAGCUGGGCAGGGGCCAGGUAGAGUGUGUGGCAGCAGGUGCAGAACAUCUUCUGGAGACAUCAGAACGAGCUGCCCCUAGGAACUGAUGCCACCACGCGCCAGAAGCCACGACCUGUGACUUAUGGGUUUGAAGUAGAGUGUAGAUUCUUAAGAGACUUGAGACCCCUCAGCCAAAGGUAGAGAAAUACGUGUCAUUUUGUUUUAUGUGAGUGAUAUAGCUUGGAUUUAUUUAUUUAUUUCUUUUUUUAUUGUUGGCUUUAAGUGAAGACAGGGCCACACAAAUUGCAUGACUAACUCCUCUCCAAGGAGAGAUACUUUUGCAGCCUACACACUGAUGUCAUUGAAAGUACCUAAUACCAGUGAGGUGGGGGCGAUUGCACAUUGGGGUUUAUUCUAAGUGGAUCAGGAAAUGGGGGGAGCAAAGGGAAUAGGAAGCCCUGAAGAAAAACAAACACAUUAGGAAGAAAGAUAAAUUAAAAUGAAGCAUCGAAAGUAAUUAACCAAGAAAAAUGGUCAUGCGCAAUGUGUAUUCUGUCUUUGGUUCCUUUAAAAGUGCAUAUUCCCUGGGGAGGAACAGAAGAGAACAAUGAAAAGAUGAGCGGAAUUUCCUUUCUAUUCCCCAGAAUAUUCAGCUCAGAGGGACCUCUAUGCUUUCCCUGUGCAAAACGAGAACUUUCCCUUCCAGACUAAAAGUCAAAAUUCUGGAUGUUUAUAGCCUAGAAUUGUGAAUCUGGCAACUUACGCCAGAGAGUGUCAUUUUGAAUGCUGGUGAUCUAGGGACUUUCCAGGUGACAUUGAAAUUACUGUUCCUUAGCACUUUUCACACUGAAGCCAAACAGAUCACAAAACAAUAAAUAUAAAUGCUCAAUAAACUUAUGAAAAAGUGUUUAAUUUCUAUAAUAAUUUUAAAAAUUCAAAUUAAACCAGUAAUAAACUACCAUUUUUUACAUGUCAAGCACUCCAAAGAUUAUAUUUAAGACAAUACCUAAAGGUAAAGGGAAUGUGGGAAAGAGGGACUCUUAUCCUGCUUUUGGGAAAAGUAUAAAUUGACACAACUUUUUCAAACCAACUUGAUAAAAUGUAUCUCAGAGCCUUAAAACAUUCAUUUAUUUAAUCAAAAGUAUUUUAUUGAAUGUAUUCUAUAUCAAGGGCUGGAAAUUACAUUCCAUCACUUUGUAGACAUUACAUAAAUGAUUACAAGUGCAGUGAGUCUUGUGAAAAGGAAAUCAAAAGGAAAUAAAAGCAAGGAAUUAAUCCUAAGGAAGUAAUCAGAAUUAUGCAGUAAGAUAAUUUAAACAGCAAGAGCUACCUAAAUGUCUACAGACAGUGGAUUAAAUAAAUUACAGUAUAUUCAUGCAAUGGAACAAUAUGAUGGCGUUAAGAAUGAACAUAGAAAACACUUAGUAACAUAUAGAAAUGUUUGUAAUACACUGGUCAAUGGAAAAUGACGUUAUGAAAGUGUUCACAGGACCCAAUUUUGUAAAAUCCAAACUAUCUGUACAUGGACCCAAUACUAUCUGUAUCGCAGGACCCAAUUUUGUAAAAACAAAACUAUAAGUGUAUAUGGCGGUCCCUCAUUAUCCACACUUUUACUCUCUGCAGUUUUAGUUACCCUCCAUCAGCCGCGGUCUGAAAAUAUUAAAUGGAAAAUUCCAGAAAAAAACAAUUUAUAAGUUUAAAAUUGCGCAUCAGUCUAAAUAGCAUGAUGAAAUCUUGUGCCAUCCCACCCAGGAUGAGCAAGAAUCACCUCUUCGUCCAGCGUUAUCCACCCUGUGUAAGCCACCCUCCCGUUAGCCACUUGGUAGCCAGACGGGUUAUCACAGAGAGAGACCACGUCCACAGAACUUGUAUUGCAGUAUAAUUGUUCUUUUUUUUAUUAUCGUUGUUGAUCUCUUACUGUUCCUACUUUAUAAAUUCAAUGUCAUGAUAGAUGUGUGUGUACAGGAAGAAAACAUAGUAUGUGAGGGGGUUGGUACUGUCCACGGUGUCAGGCACCCACUGGGGGUCUCGGAAGAUACCGCCCCUGCAGAUAAGCGGGGCUGAUGUGCUAGCAAAUGUUAUCAAUGGUAAUCGCUAGCUGGGGAGGUUACAGUGAUAUUUUUCUCUUUGCACUUAUCUUCACAAACAUUCAUAUAGUUGCAAAAAGUAAUAACAUUAGCUUUUCAGACAGCAUAGUGUUUUGGAGAGUUUGAAUUAAUGAAACGCAUUUUCCUAUCAUAGAAAGAAUAUUGAGAAAACAUUUGAAAUUUUCAAAUCCAGUCAACUGCUGUUCCAAUUUUUUUAAAAAAAAUAUUACUCAUUCUUUCUGUAUUACUUUUGUGAGAUGACCUUAAAGAAUACUAACUUGAGAUGAAAUUUUGUACUCUCCUUGUGACUGGGGGCUGAGGUGUUUAAAUGACCUUUUUCAUCCCCGGAGAUGACUGCUGUAGGUCAGGCUUGAGGUCAUUGGCUGCAGAGUUACAGUCAUAGUUUUGGCCGAGGUCAGAGUAAACUUGGGCUACAGACGAAGCUGAUGCUCUCUCGGUGAUGAAAGAAAAAACAUUCAAUCCUCCCCUCUGAGCACAAAUAAUCAGCCAAUUCUGGUGGGCUGGAGUUUGUAAUAGUUAUAAAUCUGGUACACACUGCUGAUUGACCAUAUAUGGUCAGGUUAAAGUUACUGAUGUUUGGGAACAUUUCUGGGAAAAUAGAAGUAUUUUCAAGGAAAGAUGAAGAAUCUUAAAGCUGUAGAGAUGGAAGGACCCUUCCGGGGUUCAUUCUUCUGUAUCUAGAAAGGCUAACAGAGGAAGAGUCCAGGGUAAGUGGAUACUCUAUUUGGAGAACUGACGGAAAAGGGUUUCUAUAACUUUCUGCUGUCACUUCAGUCUCUGAAUAAGAGAACCUGAUGAUAUGCGGGAAUUUGCGUGAUGAUUCAAUGCCCGAUUAUGGUCAUCGGUGUUGCCCCAUCUUGAAAUAUCCCUAUGACAUGAAUGUUCCAGAUGUGAUCUCUUCAGAGUUCAGAGGAAGUGUAACCUUCUACCACCCUGGCACUGUAGUUGUCUUAGCUUCAUUGGCAACGAUUUACCCUAUGGGUUGCUAUGCAGCGUGCUGUGGUGUUCAAUUUGCCAACAUAAACGGUCUCCUUCAUUUCCAGAUCGCAGACAA